rnacentral:rRNA from 1 species
CAAGACCUUGCGCUUUUGGAGCGGCCGAUGUCUGAUUAGCUAGUUGGUGGGGUAAAGGCUUACCAAGGCUUCGAUCAGUAGCUGGUCUGAGAGGACGACCAGCCACAUUGGGACUGAGACACGGCCCAGACUCCUACGGGAGGCAGCAGAGGGGAAUUUUGGACAAUGGGGGAAACCCUGAUCCAGCCAUGCCGCAUGAGUGAAGAAGGCCUUCGGGUUGUAAAGCUCUUUCAGCCGGAACGAAAAGGUCAUGGCUAAUACCUGUGACAAAUGACAGUACCGGAAGAAGAAGCACCGGCUAACUACGUGCCAGCAGCCGCGGUAAUACGUAGGGUGCUAGCGUUAAUCGGAAUUACUGGGCGUAAAGCGUGCGCAGGCGGUUUUGUAAGUCAGAUGUGAAAUCCCCGGGCUUAACCUGGGAACU